ACGGGGUGCAGCAGGCGCGAAAACUGACCAAUGCGCGAAAGCGUGAGUCGGUCAAUCCGAGUGUAGACCCAUCGGUUUACUUUUAUCAUGUGUACAAAGCUUGGUGAAUAAUGUGAGGGCAAGACUGGUGCCAGCCGCCGCGGUAAAACCAGCUCAUAGAGUGGUGAUCGUGAUUAUUUGGCUUAAAGUGUGCGUAGCAGGGAAUUCUAAGUCCUCUGUGAAAUGUCAGGUCUUAAGCUUGACACGUGCAGAGGAUACUGGAAUCCUUGGGACCGGGAUAGGUGUAAUGUACGGUUUGGGUAGGGGUGAAAUCCGAUAAUCCAAGCCGGACAACCGGUGGCGAAGGCGUUACACUGGAACGGGUCCGACUGUGAGGCACGAAAGCUAGGGUCGCGAGCCGGAUUAGAUACCCGGGUAGUCCUAUGCUGUAAACGAUGCUCACUAAGUGUUAGGUAAUGCAAGACAUUCUCUAGUGCCGAAGCGAAAGCGUUAAGUGAGCCGCCUGGAAGUACGUUCGCAAGAA
rnacentral:rRNA from 1 species